rnacentral:rRNA from 1 species
GACGAACGCUGGCGGCAUGCCUAAUACAUGCAAGUCGAACGCGACCAGCCGGUGCUUGCACUGGCGAAGUCGAGUGGCGAACGGGUGAGUAACACGUGAGAAACCUACCCUGGAGUGGGGAAUAACUCGAAGAAAUUCGAGCUAAUACCGCAUACCUUCUUACCGUCGAAUGGUGGUUUGAAGAAAGAUUUAUCGCUCUGGGAGGGUCUCGCGGCCUAUCAGCUAGUUGGUGAGGUAACGGCUCACCAAGGCAUCGACGGGUAGCUGGUCUGAGAGGACGAUCAGCCACACUGGAACUGAGACACGGUCCAGACUCCUACGGGAGGCAGCAGUAGGGAAUCUUGCGCAAUGGGCGAAAGCCUGACGCAGCAAUGCCGCGUGCGGGACGAAGGCCCUAGGGUCGUAAACCGGCUUUCAGUAGGGACGAAAUGACGGUACCUGCAGAAGAAGACUCCGGCCAACUACGUGCCAGCAGCCGCGGUAAU